CCAAAACCCUGUAUUUAAAAUACUUGGCAAUUUAAAAAAUAUAUUUUAUUAGCAGAAAAUAAUUAUUUUAACAAAUAUGUUUCUAUGUUUUGGCAUGUUAAUCAUUGCUAAUAUUUUUGAACCCAGGCAAACUUAUUCAUUAGCUCUUACAGUGUUUAUUAGUCUAAUCUCUCCACAGAGUUGUUAAUUACUUACGCUACAAAUCUCCCGUACAGUAAUGGUGGCCUUAAUUUUUGUUUUGUAUUUCUGCUUUUAGAGUGUAUAUAAGUAAACAUUAAACUUCUUGUAUAAAUUUUGGUGAAAGCUGUUCUGUCACCUUCAGAGAAAAAUUAUAAUAUAUAAAAAUCUUUUUGAGUGUAUAGAGAAUGAUAAAUAUUUUUGUUUGGUUUUGUUCUUCCCUUUUCUUCUUCCCACCUUUAACCUUCAUUUUGCUGUUUGAAAUGAGUGGAAUUCUGAAUUCUUCUAAGAGUAGGGUGAUAACAGCAUAAGUCUGUGCAGUGUUGAGAGAGCGUGUGGAGAAAAUUGGUAGUGAAGAGAGGGAUUUUUCAUUUGGGUUGUCAUUAUUUAACUUUUUUCAUAGCCUUUUCUCUUUCUAAACCAUGGCUGCUAGAACUUUGGAAGUUGCUGUGAGAUUCUGUCAGCAUUGCUUCCCUGCUUUGCACCCAGUUGAGAGUUUUUCUUCAAGACUCCAAGGAACUUAAAGAAAAGCAGAGGUUAUUUGCUAAAUAAGAUAGAAAUGGCUGCAGGUGGAGAAAGGAAAAGUUUUGUGAGAUAAGAAAAGAAAUAAAAUUUCAGCACACUUGAUUAACAGCAACAUAUCAAAGAAGCAGUGACAUAACUGGCUGUAUGCCAGUAGUUGGUUCAUGCACAGUUCACUUUAUUGGCGAUCAGAUCCACCUUUGCUAUUUCUGAUCACAAUGCUUAUGUGCUAUCCAGAAUUCUCUGCAUUACAGUCCCUGAAGAAAUGAAACAGCGGAACAGCAACAAUGACAGAAAUGGGAGAUAAGGGCAGCCUGACACUGCAAUCUUGUUAAGCUCCACAGAAGAGGCAUAAUUUCCUACCUACCAGCUUCCGCUAUCCGUGUACCAGACUUCUGUAUCAGUAUGGCCUUAUUUAAUCCUUUUUCCUUAAGGGUUUUUUUUUUGUUUUGUCUUUUUUUUUUUUUUUUUUUUUUUUUUCCUGCUUACACUGGGUUUUCCGACAUAGUAAAGCUGUAGUGUGUUCCCAUCAGAAUCUGUCCUGCUUUUGUUUCUUAGACUGAACAAGGGAUUGAUGUGUGCUCCAGUCCCCUGAUCACCUUGGCAGACCACUGCUGGACAUGCUCCAGUGGUUUUCCUAUGCUAGUGAGCUCAAAAUAGGACACAGUGCUCCAAAAGUGGUCUCUCUCAAAGCACUGAAAACAGGAAGGGUUGCUUUCUUGAACUUGCUUGCUGCUGUCCAGUAAAGCUUGAUAUACAAUUAGUUACCUUAACUGUAAAGACACUGUGCUCCUUAUCUGUCUUGUCUUCUGCAGUAUGCUGCAGCGCUGCCUUUCUGCAGGUCCUGAUAAUAGAACUGGGGAAGUGUAAGGCAGGAAGCAGACCUUAAUCCUCGAGAAAAAAAACCUUAAAACAAACAAAUGAAAACUACUGAGUACCUCAAUCUUUCCCAUGUAAUUUGUACUCUCUCUUAUUCAAUGGUGAGCUCCUAUUUUUCACCAUCCCUGAAUAUACCUAUAGAAAUCCUUUUUGCUGCAAUGCUCAUCCUUGUGUACUUUCCUAGUGUCCCUACAGUCUUCCAAAAGUUUCUUCCAUGAGCUUCGUUAGUCACCCUGAGCUCAGGCAGGGUCCGCCUGCUCAACCCUCUGUGUCACCUGCUUGGUGUUUGGUGUUUUUCCAGGCCUGCUUCAGAGAAGUUAUCCUAGGGAAGCAGCUUGGGGGCCUGACCCAAGCAGGGGGCAGUCUCUCACUGGGUGCAGGUAGAUUCCUAAGUGAGCUUUAACCUGAUUUCCAGAAGCUCAGAGUUAUAACUCUGUUACCUUGCUCACUACUUGAAGCACUUUACCACACAAUAUCAGGAUCACUCAGACAGGCCUAUUCUUAGCUGUGCCCAUCUUGAGGUCUUGUCUUUGAGGCUCAGGUCCCUCAGAGCAUUGCCUGCCAUCCACUCACUGCUCACCUGCAUCUUUGUACCUGUAUGUCUGAUGUAAGCUGUAAGCUAUAUAGGGGAAGGUUUUGUAUUGUAACACAACUCACCAUAAUAAUGGAUUUAAACUAGCAUUUGUAGUGUGAGUAAUGGAAGAACUUAUCACUGAACAGCAAAAUAAGUUGCUUAAAAGACAAUGGCAACAUGCAGUCUGUUGUUCUGUGCUAGGUGAAUUUUUAGAAAAUGUAACUUUUCCACUAUUUUCAAGGACAGUCAACUGAUUUCAACAAAGUUUUUAGAAUAUGAAAAGGGUCAGGAUGCAGGCAAAUACCCUUGAAUCAGUAAUGCAGCCUGACUGGAUAAGCAGCUGGAAAGGAUGUUUGUAGAAGAAAUGACAGGCCUGAAACUUUUACAGGCAAAGGAAUUUCCUUUGUUCCUGAGGAAUCAUAGAAUCAUAGAAUCACCAAGGUUGGAAAAGACCUAAAAGAU